rnacentral:rRNA from 1 species
UACGUAGGGUGCAAGCGUUGUCCGGAAUUACUGGGCGUAAAGAGCUCGUAGGCGGUUUGUCGCGUCGUCUGUGAAAUCCCGCAGCUCAACUGCGGGCUUGCAGGCGAUACGGGCAGACUUGAGUACUGCAGGGGAGACUGGAAUUCCUGGUGUAGCGGUGAAAUGCGCAGAUAUCAGGAAGAACACCCGUGGCGAAGGCGGUUCUCUGGGACGGUACUGACGCUGAGACGCGAAAGCGUGGGGAGCGAACAGG